rnacentral:lncRNA from 1 species
ACCCGGAAGCGGCUCGGGCGGGCGCAGGGUCGCGGGUGUAGGGUGGCGGCGCUCCGCCUUUCACCGACGCACCUGGGAGAAACAGACCGGAGGACGCGGGUGGCGCGGAGCACGAGAAACAACGAGUUUCUGUCUAGAUCGUGGGGGACCCAAGCCCGGGGUUGCGUCCAAGGUCGGGGAUGGAGAGGACGCGACCCCCGCGGCAGUCGAGAUGGCCUUUUUAAAAUUCUAUAUUUGAGAAGGAGUCUCGCGCUGUCGCCCAGGCUGGAGCGCAAUGGCGCGAAAUCGGCUCAUUGCAGCCUCGACGUCCAGGACUCGAGCGAUCCUCCCGCCUCAGCCUCUCGAGAAGGUGGGACCACCGGUGGGCACCGCCACGCCCGGCUAAUUUUUAUUAAUGUUUUGCUAGAGCCGGGAUCUUGCUGUGUUGUCUGGCUGGUCUUAAACUCCUGGGCUCCAGCGAUCCUCCCUCCUCGGCCUCCCAAAGCGCUGGGAUUACAGGCAUGAGCCACACUGCGCCUGGCCAAGCUAGUGCAUUUUAAUUGACCUUCACUUCAUGUCAAUUUAUUUUUUACACUAUUCCAUUUAGUCCUCAGAACAGUUCUUUAGAAUUGGGUAUUGCUCCGUUUACGUGGGAAACAUAGCAGCGAGGUAACGGGCUGGGUCCCGUGCUGGGAACGGGAGCCCUGCUCAUCUGACUGCUUGCACCCUGUGCUGUCUAUGCUGGGCGUACUGGGGGGCGUUAGGGAAGAGACCACAGGUACGAUGCAAUGCCUGUCCUCAAGGAGCCCAUUGUUCUCAUGGGAACACAAAGCUGACACAUCGAGAACAAACUAUGGAACAGGCUGUGGCUGAGGGCCAUGAAGGAAGGCUGCCAAGUCCGGGCCCAGCCAGGUAGCAGCCACACCUCUAUCUACCCUGCUCCCCAACACUGGGCACCAGCACUCACCUGCCCAGGACCCACAGUGAAAACCCACCCACAAAAAAUGCACUUUGGAGAAGAGUAGCAGGUCCCAGGCAGAGCCAGGGCCACCUCUCAGAAAGGACAUCAAGUUUCUCGCCCAGCUGAGAGAUGGACAGAUGACCGCACAAGCCACUCACAGCCCAAGGUGAUGGACUCUAGGAUAUAUUCAAGGCUGAGCAACUGGCUUGAAGUCGUGUCUACUUACAUAUUCAAAGACCUAGUGAGCAUUCACAAGUCAUUCUUUUUACCCUCCAACUAGCCGUGUUCUCAACCAGUCUACCUAGGAAUGCUGUUGGCUGUGAAAACUCCAGAGGCUGGUAUCUUUAGAGUUCCUUCAGGGUGCAUUCAGCAUCUGAGCCUAGCGACUCUUGAGGUGAAAGUGCUCACGUUUUUUUUUUGGUGAGAGAGUCUCACUCUGUCGCCCAGGCUGGAGUGCAGUGGCGCAGUCUCAAAGUGCUCAUCUUUAUGUACUUUGGAUGCCGGUGAAUGCCUAUUGUUUCAGCCAGCUGGAUCACUUUACCUGUUAACCAUUCCAAUGAGUGGCCAGAAGGCUCCUCUCCAGGCCUCACAGAGGGAAACACUGGUCUAGUGAGAGACCUGCGUCCUGCCCAUCAGGACCGAAGCGGCACGCGUGAGGAUCCUGCAGGCCAAGAGACAACAGCGAUUACAAACCCCAGUCCCAGCCUUGCAGCUGACCUUGCAGGUGACGCCCUGCCUGGGUGUCUCGGUGCAGCUGCACAUCAGGGGCCUCUGCUGGACAGAAGCUCUGAGUCCACACUUGGCCCCCAGGCGCUGGAGCUGGAGCACUGCCACGAGAGGGGAUGCUGCCGUGGCUGCGCCAGCUUCAGCCCUUUCCCUGCACCGAGAUGUCCCAGUGAGCGGCUGGGUGCUCACAGUUCCCGUUGGGCCAUCAGAGGAAGAUCAAAGAUCAACCCUCCCCCAUGGGCUCCUGCCUGCCUGCCAGGUUUUCCUGUCUCCUGGAGGACAAGGAUGAGGGCUUUCCACUUGAGUCUCCCUGGUGGAGCCCAGCUCCUGACAUACCUGGUAAAAGUUCUCAAGAGAAGAACAUGGAGGAGGAAUGUGGAUAACAACCCUGGCUGCCUGUGUGUUCCAAGCUAGGAAGAUGUAAUGUCCCCACAAACGGGGUAAAUGGCUUGCCUGCGUCACAGCUGUCUCAAGCCCAGGCCCUGGGUGCCAGCCCAAGCCCAAGGACUAGGUCCAGAGCCACACAGCGCCAGGCCACAUCCGCCUCACCUGGGACCUUUUGUGGGGUACAGUCUCCGGCCCCACCCAGACCUGCUGAAGGAGAGACCCCAUGGCAAGGACUCAGCCACCUGCAGUUUCAUAAGCCCCCAGUGGGUUCCUAGGCAUGAAGACCACCGGUUAGAGGCUGAACUGGCAGGAACCUGUCUCCAGCCCCUUCUCACCCCAGCCGGGCCCUGCCUCAGAGGCAGCACCCAGGACGUGGCCAUGACCCGUGGACUCCACUCAAUCCCUCUUCUCCAGGAGCCAUGCAAAGUGUCAGCCAGCCAGGCCCCUGGAAGGCAGUCAUCACCUCUUAAGGCAUUGCGGGUGUCGGUCCUGCAACUGCCAGGUGCAGCACACGACCCAUGUCCGGUGUUCGAUAGCAGGGAGCCAUGACCUGGCAACGAUUCCACGCUCAAAGGGGCACCCGGGGGGCCCUGGGUCGGGGCGGAUCAGCUUUCCCUGGGCACAUCUGCCUCAUUCCAGAUCUCCAGGGCUCAUGUCUGUGACAGGGAGGGAAGGCUCUGCCCUGGCCUUCCGUCAGCUCUGCCAGUGCAGGCUGGGCAGCCUGGGCUUUAGAGCUGGCUUCUGCCCACACUUUCUCCGUGAAAGGAAAACAACUAUGAGUCUGCCAAACGCAUCUCAGAUGCGUUUUAAAAAAUUCUGGUCCCCGCUCUCUGUCCCAUCAUCUGCCUCGGGGACUUCCUCUCUCCGUGGUUCUCACCCCAUACUCUGUCACUGCCACAUUUUCACCUGGGCCUGGCCUUUGUCUC